rnacentral:lncRNA from 10 species
AAAGGAAGAUGGGUGACAUUCAAAGAAAAGGACCUCUGCCAUGAACCUUGCAAUGGGUGAGAAAUUUUUUCUCCCCUAUUGGAGCUCAGAAACUAAUACCCCAAAAUAUAGUGCCUUGACAUGCUGAACAGAAUAAGAAGCCUCUCAAGAUCCCUCUGACUCCCCACCGUCCUACAACCUCCUGUCAGUCCUCUCUCUCCCAAAGCACAGGAUGAAGUUGUUCUCUGAAGUUCCCUUAUUGGCCUAAAGUCUGGACCUGCCAAAGAAGAAAACAAUUACUCUGGUCUCUUCUUUGAGUUUUCAUUAACUAAGCUCACAUCACAGGAAGCAAGACUGAAGUCUGUCAACACACCUGAACAGACUUUUGUCACAAACCAUUGUCUGCUCUGUGGGCCCAACCGAUUUUGUCCCAGGCCAUAUUAUAUGUUCCUCAAGUCUAUUGAAUUUCCCUGAAGAUCAUUUACUAUGUGUCCCCCCAAAAUCAUUCAUACCUCCCGUCUCCCUUUCCUCUAGAAAGAAAGUAUAUAACCAUGUGUACCCCAUUGCAUGGUGGGGCAAUCACUUGGUGAUUCUCUCGCAUGCACACUAAUAAAUUUGCAUGCCAUUUCUGCUAUUAAUCUGCCUUUUGUGAGUUUCAGCAAACCUCUGGAGGGCAAAGGGAAAAUUUUAUCCUUACCCCUAUAUCCCCUACAGUAGAUAUUCUUCACUAAGUAGCUACUUUCAGAAAAUCUUUACAGAGUAUUACUUCUGAUACCAGUGGAAACCAUAUAUUAAUAUUUAUUAGAAUGCAAGGUCUACAAGGAAAACAUCAAAGCUUAAUCGUCACAAAAGUAAAGUAAUUGGGAAUAAUACAGUUUAACAUUCCACACCUAUCCCUAUAAAUCCUACUUCUUAAACAUGAAUGAAGACCACUUAGUAGCAAAAUAAAAGUGUGAAAGUGUGUAAGCAGCCAAGCUGGUGUUUAUUUCUGAUUUAUUUAUUUAUUUAUUUAGAGACAUAGUCUCUCUCUGUCGCCCAGGCUGGAGUGCAAUGGCACAAUCUUGGCUCACUACACCUUCCACCUCCUGGAUUCAAGCGAUUCUCAUGCCUUAGCCUCCUGAGUAGCUGGGACUACAGGUGCACACCACCAGGCCUGGCUGAUUUUUGUAUUAUUAGUAGAGACAGGGUUUUACCAUGUUGGCCACGCUGGUCUCGAACUCCUGACUUCACGUGAUCCACCUGCCUCAACCUCCCAAAGUGCUGGGAUUACAGGUGUGAACCACCACGCCCAGCUGUGAUUUAAAAUCUUAAUUGUAUUUCUAAAGGUGAAGGUCUCACCUGUGAAGGUGCAAGGGCAUCUACUUAUAGAUAGAUGGAAACAAUAUUCAUAAUUGUUUGGAAGAAUAAAAAUCCAUGUAACCCUCAGCCAACAGUAACUAUAGAAAAUGCUACUGAUUAUUUAAAUAUUGGAAAUAGAGAUCAGUUUUCUAAUCCUAAAAAUCUCCUUGCACCCAGAAUACAAAUAUGGAAAGAUAAUUAAAUACUGUGUUAGCUGUCAUACCAGUAAAUAUUACUGAUUAAAAAAAAACCUUGAUUGGAAGAUUUACCAUAUCAUUCAUGGAACAUUAUUUGAUAGGGCUGCCAUAACAAAGUAAUAUCGACUGGGUGUUUUAAACAAUAUAGAUUUAUUGCCUUACAGUCAUGGAGGCAAGAAGUCUGAAAUAAAGAUGUUGUCAAGAUUGGUUCCUUCUGAGGACUGUAAAUGAAAGAUCUGUUCCAGGCCUUUCUCCUUGGCUUAUGGAAGACUAUCUUCUGUUUCCCUUCACAUUGCCUUCCUUUAAUGUGUGUCUGUCUGUAUAUCUAAAUUCACCCUUUUAAUAAAAAUGUCAGUGAGCCAUAAAUUAGAACCCACACUAUGGUCUCCUUUGAAGUUGACUGCCUCUCUCUAAAGACCACAUCUGUAAGAGUUAGGACCCCAGCACAACUUUUUUUUUUUUGGAUGGGGCAUGAGAUUCAACCCACGAGACUAUAAAAGACUAAAAAGUUUCUACAUUUUUAAAUUUUUAAGUUUCUGAAAUUAACUUUAACAUAAUAUGGUAACAAGUGGAUCAAAGAAUUUUCCACAGCUUUAUAACAUUCAAACUAUUUAUUUUAAUCCCACUUCCUCCAGCCUUCCUAUCCCUGAAUAAUUUGGAAAUAUGUUGAUGUAUUGAGUUUCUUUUUUCUUCAUGGGAAAAAUCUAAAAGACAUAAGGACAAAUGCAAAUCUUAAAAAAAAAAAAAAUACCCUGAUGACAAAAGUCCCUUCCCUUUUCCUUGGAGCAUUUUCUUUAGAAAACUUGUAAUUGUAAAUCCUUUCUCUGUCAAAAACUUGUAACUGGAAAUCCUUUCUCUGUCCCUGAGAUGGAUGCAAAUCUCUGAAAAGCUGAAUAAACCUCUAGCCAGUUUUGC